rnacentral:lncRNA from 1 species
UAGUUUUGUAGAUGGACCUCAUCUGGUCUUUGUACUAUACAUUAUUUCCAGCUCUCUGACUCCAAACGAACUCUCACUGAUUAGGAUUCAGUAUAGGAUUCCUCCGGAGUACGAGCUGAAGCUUCUCGGGCCAACUGGCCGGGCUAGCGCCCCUCCUCCUAGCCGCUUCUGCUUAUAUCAGGAAGCUUUCCGCGUCGGGCUUUGACUUCUGCUUCUACC